CUAGAUCCUAAUUUGAAGCAGAACUUUUUUUUCCUCAUAAGUUCGUAACCGGCAACCAAUCAAUUAUCAAACCUGUUUGUGUAAACCAAUUCAAUCUUUUCUCCAUCGAUGAAGCCUGCAACUUCAUCUUUAUCGAAACCCUAGAAAACGAACUCCUAAUCCAAUAAUAUUCUUGAAAAAAUUCGUCGUUCUCAAAGCCCUAGAAUUUUCUAUCUCUCGAAACCCCUGGCGAACAAACUCAAAUCUUUUUCUCUCAAUUUAUGGUAUUUCUGGUUUGAUUUUUGCAACAUCUUAUACCGCUAAUGUUAGUGGUUGUAAUCAAGGUAUGAGAUCUGAAAUAGGGCUUUGCCUUUGAUUUUUUUUGCUCAAGGCCAGAGUCAAACCACUGUGAGAUUAAAGAAUCAGAUGUAAACUUGAGAAGUAACAGGGGAAAUAAGGUAAAUCAAUAUGUUACAAUAGUCCAUAGGAGAAAUCUAUUUGCUUCGUACAUAUCUGAAUGCCUCUAGGAGACAAGUGAUUCGUCAAGCAGAUGAUAAUAAUUGGAAGGAAAAGCUACCCUCAACUCAUAGAUGAAUUGGUAUGGUAUGUGCAUACAUAGCAGGAACGCGGCUUAGGAAUGGACUGCUGGUGUUGAUUAAGCACAAAAUAAGUCUAGUUUUAAGUAUAAAGUUUCUCAACUUCAGCGUCGGGUUAAUAUUAACUAUUAAGUUCUGAUAUUGUUUGCUAGUUUCUUUUUUUAUGUUAAAGAUGGAUUCACUAUACUUGUAAAACAUAUUUUUUUUUAAAUGAAAUCUGAAUUCUU